UACGGAGGAUCCGAGCGUUAUCCGGAUUUAUUGGGUUUAAAGGGUGCGUAGGCGGUCAGGUAAGUUAGAGGUGAAAGCUCGAUGCUCAACAUCGAAACUGCCUCUGAUACUGUCUGACUAGAGUGUAGUUGCGGAAGGCGGAAUGUGUGGUGUAGCGGUGAAAUGCUUAGAUAUCACACAGAACACCGAUUGCGAAGGCAGCUUUCCAAGCUAUUACUGACGCUGAGGCACGAAAGCGUGGGGAGCGA
rnacentral:rRNA from 1 species